UACGGAGGGUGCAAGCGUUAUCCGGAUUUACUGGGUUUAAAGGGUGCGUAGGCGGGCAGGUAAGUCAGUGGUGAAAUCCUCAAGCUUAACUUGAGAACUGCCAUUGAUACUAUUUGUCUUGAAUAUCUUGGAGGUGAGCAGAAUAUGUCAUGUAGCGGUGAAAAUGCUUAGAUAUGACAUAGAAUACCAAUUGCGAAGGCAGUCACUACACGAUUAUUGACGCUGAGGCACGAAAGCGUGGGGAUCAAACAGG
rnacentral:rRNA from 1 species